UAUAUCCCCAACGGUAAUAUUAACUUCCUUCAUUAAAUUCCUACCCGAACCACACCAUUUUUUCCCUAAUUCAAAGCUCUAAUCUCCCAACCAUUUUCAGCCAUUUUUGAAGGUUUGGAGCUGCCAAAUUUGUGUCGAACUUAUUUGUAGUGCAAAGAGGGUUUGUAAUGGAGAAAAUCGACUUGAAUAGAUUAUGUAUGAGCGAAGCUGAACCAAUGCUCAAAGCUGUAGUGCAAUGCAAACAUGGAAAUUUGCUGCAAAUGAAAACUUCUUGGUCGAAGCCGAAUCCUGGAAGAAGAUAUUGGCUAAGAAUUGCAAGCUUUUUCGGUGGACAGAUAAAGAAUAAGUUGAUCCAAGAUCAAAAUUUAUCCUCCCAAGAUUGGUGAACAAAAUUAGAGAUUUGGAGAAAGAAUUAGCGCAAUCUGAGAGUAUCAAGAUGGAAUUGGUUGAGCUUAAAAGCAUUGACAUGAAUUCGGUUAGUGUCGACAUGAAUUUGGUUGAGCAAGAGGAGACAAGUCUGCUGGUUCAAAGGAAAAGCAAAUGGUGUAGGUUCAAUAGGAAUUUCAUUUUGUGUUUUAUGGUUUGUGUUGUUGUUUUGCUCAUCAGCGAUCUAUUCCUUAUAGCAUAAUGGAAUUGUCAUAGUAGCAUAAUUGUGACAUAUCUCUUUUGGUUGUCUUGUGUAAUGUAAGGCAAAUGGAAUUGUCCUUACCCUGUGUAAUGUAAGGACCAUUUUGUGUAUUGUUUUAUGUAUGAAUAAAACAUUUUACUCCUUUCA